rnacentral:rRNA from 1 species
AGAGUUUGAUCCUGGCUCAGAUUGAACGCUGGCGGCAUGCCUUACACAUGCAAGUCGAACGGCAGCGCGGGCUUCGGCCUGGCGGCGAGUGGCGGACGGGUGAGUAAUGCAUCGGAACGUGCCCACGAGUGGGGGAUAACGUAGCGAAAGUUACGCUAAUACCGCAUACGUACUGAGGUAGAAAGCGGGGGAUCGAAAGACCUCGCGCUCAUGGAGCGGCCGAUGUCGGAUUAGCUAGUUGGUGGGGUAAAAGCUCACCAAGGCGACGAUCCGUAGCUGGUCUGAGAGGACGACCAGCCACACUGGGACUGAGACACGGCCCAGACUCCUACGGGAGGCAGCAGUGGGGAAUCUUGGACAAUGGGGGAAACCCUGAUCCAGCAAUGCCGCGUGUGGGAUGAAGGCCCUCGGGUUGUAAACCACUUUUGGCAGGAAAGAAAUCGCCUGUGCUAAUACCAUGGGUGGAUGACGGUACCUGCAGAAUAAGCACCGGCUAACUACGUGCCAGCAGCCGCGGUAAUACGUAGGGUGCGAGCGUUAAUCGGAAUUACUGGGCGUAAAGCGUGCGCAGGCGGUUUUGUAAGACAGAUGUGAAAUCCCCGGGCUUAACCUGGGAACUGCAUUUGUGACUGCAAGACUAGAGUGUGUCAGAGGGAGGUGGAAUUCCGCGUGUAGCAGUGAAAUGCGUAGAGAUGCGGAAGAACACCGAUGGCGAAGGCAGCCUCCUGGGAUAACACUGACGCUCAGGCACGAAAGCGUGGGGAGCAAACAGGAUUAGAUACCCUGGUAGUCCACGCCCUAAACGAUGUCAACUGGUUGUUGGGGAUUCAUUUCCUUAGUAACGUAGCUAACGCGUGAAGUUGACCGCCUGGGGAGUACGGCCGCAAGGUUAAAACUCAAAGGAAUUGACGGGGACCCGCACAAGCGGUGGAUGAUGUGGAUUAAUUCGAUGCAACGCGAAAAACCUUACCUACCCUUGACAUGUCGAGAACUUUUCAGAGAUGGAUUGGUGCCCGAAAGGGAACUCGAACACAGGUGCUGCAUGGCUGUCGUCAGAUCGUGUCGUGAGAUGUUGGGUUAAGUCCCGCAACGAGCGCAACCCUUGUCCUUAGUUGC